rnacentral:rRNA from 1 species
AUGAAGGACCUUGGUGUGGUUGAUGUUAUCUUGAACAUCAAGCUAUUGAGAGAUGAUGAGGGUGGGAUUACAUUUCUGCAAUCCCAUUAUGUUGAGAAGGUGUUGAGUCGCUUUGGAUAUUCGGACUGCAAACCAUCUCAAACACCAUAUGAUCCUAGUGUGUUGGUCCGAAAGUUUGAAGGCACAGCUAAGGAUCAACUGAGAUACUCUCAAAUCAUUGGUUCACUCAUGUACCUAGCAAGUGCAACGAGGCCUGACAUCGCGUUUGCUGUGAGCAAACUGAGCCGGUUUGUUUCCAAUCCGGGUGAUGUAUAUUGGCAUGCUAUUGAGAGAGUUAUGCGCUAUCUGAAAGGUACUAUGAACUAUGGACUUCACUAUACCGGAUACCCGUCGGUACUUGAAGGGUAUAGUGAUGCGAAUUGGAUCUCUGAUGCUGAUGAGAUGAAGGCCACAACAGGGUAUAUGUUUACUCUUGGAGGUGGUGAUGUUUCCUGGAAGUCUUGCAAGCAAACGAUCUUAACAAGAUCGACAAUGGAAGCAGAACUAACAGCAUUA